rnacentral:lncRNA from 1 species
GCAGAAGUGGCUGGAAACCCUGAAAAUGGUCCCUAAACAUAUACAUCCGCUCUAUGCCUGUCAGGUAUAUGUGCUCUAGAUUGUAUCUGUCCCUCUGUCAUACAGUUUUUUCCUUCUCCUCAGUCUUGUUCAUUUAGCAGAGGUAUAGAGGUUUAUUUGCAUGACUUAACCCUGUCCUCAUUUCUCUCCAUUUAUGGAAGCGUCUUACCUAAGGACUGAGUAAACAGCCAAGCACGGAUUGUGAGUCUGCUUCCACUAAGAUGCAAUUUUUCUUAUGGGUCUCUGUACAGGGAAAUCCUAUUGAGCGUACUUAAACCCCACUGACUUCAAACUUAGCACAUACUCAAAUGCUUUUUUGAACAGGAGCCAACUGGCUCUGUCAUGACAUCUAAUCGCUUACUAGUAUGAAUAAAUGGUUCACAAUCUGUCCUAAGUGUUCAGUGCUGCUUAUACAACUUUUUGUACUUCUUUCGGCAAGGCUUAGACAGCUUGCAAAAUCUUGCCUAUCUAGCUGUAACACUGUCCACAGGACUCUCUUCCUCACAGAAACCAAGGAAGUCUGCUUUAAAAAGACUUCGAAAGAUUUUUCAGAGGUGAAAGCCUGCUCUUGAAUGUAUUUGGAUAGUCUGCUGGAGUAACGUGGAAAUGACCUGUGGCUCAGAAGGUGAGUUUAUUGCUGUCAGGGUUUGAAUUUGUCUGCUGAAGU